AUUGAACGCUGGCGGCAGGCCUAACACAUGCAAGUCGAGCGGAUGAAGGGAGCUUGCUCCUGGAUUCAGCGGCGGACGGGUGAGUAAUGCCUAGGAAUCUGCCUGGUAGUGGGGGAUAACGUCCGGAAACGGGCGCUAAUACCGCAUACGUCCUGAGGGAGAAAGUGGGGGAUCUUCGGACCUCACGCUAUCAGAUGAGCCUAGGUCGGAUUAGCUAGUUGGUGAGGUAAAGGCCUACCAAGGCGACGAUCCGUAACUGGUCUGAGAGGAUGAUCAGUCACACUGGGACUGAGACACGGUCCAGACUCCUACGGGAGGCAGCAGUGGGGAAUAUUGGACAAUGGGCGAAAGCCUGAUCCAGCCAUGCCGCGUGUGUGAAGAAGGUCUUCGGAUUGUAAAGCACUUUAAGUUGGGAGGAAGGGCAGUAAGUUAAUACCUUGCUGUUUUGACGUUACCAACAGAAUAAGCACCGGCUAACUUCGUG
rnacentral:rRNA from 1 species